GUACAGUGAUUCUUCCUCAUGAAGUUUCAAACAACAGUGGCUGUUCCAACAAACUAGAUGACCCCCUUGAGAUUAGCCGAUCAUUAGAACAAAGUCUCAUGGUCACGUGUGUAGGAAGCAUCGCAGAGCUUGGUGACCUUGUGGACCGUGCGAUGCAUUUUCACCAGAGUCGCUCUCGUACCACUAACUCACCGUACAAGACCAAUGGAAUCACGUGGAGUCCGGAUGGUCUUAGAACGCUCUUCCAUUUUAUGAGCUGCAAUCAGCUGGAAUAUCAGGAUGAUAGGCCCAUCGUUCAACUCACUCCAGAAAGGCCUUACGUUGUUCUUCCUCCCCUCAUGGAGUGGAUAAGGGUUGCCAGUACCCACUGUGAACAUCGUCUGAGCAGUGUGGUAGACAGCGAUGAUGUCAGACAGGCUGCAAGGUUACUACUACCAGGCAUCGACACACCAGUCAGACCUCUCAGAAUGGACGAGUCUCUCUGUUCCUCGAGACACCUAGAUGCCAGCCAGUCCACAGCUCGUUUCCAGCAGGAUCUAGGCUUCCGUAUGCUGGCCUGCGGGAGAACGGACCUGGUCCCAAGCGCUGCUGCUCUGCUAGGCCCAGAUGGGAUUGAUACUGUUAGUGAACAGGGUAUGACAGCGUUAAUGUUGGCGUGUGCGAGAGGCGACGAAGCAAUGGUGCAGAUAUUAUUAGACAAUGGUGCUAAGCCUAAUCUUACCGUCCCAAGUAGUCAUCAGAAGUAUCCCUGUAUCCAUCCUACCAUCAGACAUUGGACAGCUCUAUCGUUUGCAGUAGCUCACAGACAUACAGCUAUAGCUCAGUUAUUAUUAGAUGCCGGUGCUAACGUAGAAGGUGCUCAUGGAGAGAAUUACACACAUUCACCGUUACAGCUAGCGUCAGCAGCAGGUUACCACGAGCUGGUGUGUCUUCUUUUAGAUAAGGGAGCAGACCCUUACCUCACAACAUUACAUAGAAAUGGGAUCACCAGUAAAGGACAUGGCAACUCAUUUGCUCUUGCUGCUGCACAUGGUCAUAGGAAUAUUUUACGUAAGCUUCUAGAGCAGCCUCGAUUGAUCCGAUCGUCGGACAUCUUAUCUCUGGAGGAGAUCUUAGCUGAGGGUUCCGAUGGGCCAAAGGAACGGAAAGCUAGCAAAGCGAGGAAGAACAAGAUUGCACUUAUGCUGCAGGAAGCGAUGUACCACAGCUGCGAGCAUGGUUUCCUAGACAUCGCCAUGGAGCUCCGGAGCCUUGGUGUCCCAUGGACCUUCCACUGCUGGCUGGAGACCCUUCGGACGGCUAAGUACUUCCACCGGUUGGCCAUCAUCCAGUGUUUGUUCCGAGACUUUGGAUCCAUCCCAGUCGAGGACGACUACGAGGAGCUGAUCCGGGACGGGCUGCCCCUCAUGUUUGAGAUCUUCAGGCAGAGUAAGAAUGACCUGGUGAGCAAACAGCUUGCUAACAUCUUCCCUCUCCUUAUGGGUACGGAAAAGAUAAGUGACAUCCCUACACCAGAUGCUAUGCAUGGGGCAAGGAUAGAUCCUCAAUAUAUCAACAACCCUGAGAUGUCGGAUGUGACCUUUGUGGUGGAAGGUCGGAGGUUCUACGCCCACAAGAUUGUCCUGGUGACGGCAUCCAAACGCUUCAAAGCCAUGCUUUCGGAUCGCAUGUUGGACCCUCAGAAACCAAUCGUUGAGAUCACAGAGUUUAGCUAUCAUAUCUUUCAGCUUUUGAUGCAGUACCUUUAUAAUGGAAGCACAGAGAAUCUUCAUGUCAAGCCAUCUGAACUUCCUGAGUUACUGGCAGCUGCUAAUCAUUUUGUAUUGACUGGUCUUCAGCUUCACUGUGAGAGAUUACUUAGCAUUGAUCUCGCCUGGGAUAAUGCUACAACAGUCUACAGACAAGCCAGAUUAUAUGGAGCCGAGUCUCUAUUGGAAUAUUGCCACUGGUUCUUCCUGCUCAACAUGCCAGAACUCCUUGCCAAGAAUGAAACUUUCAAGAAACUCAUCUUCCCUCCGAAGCAACAUCCUUAUGACCUACCGAGCAUGCUUCAAGAUACUUUGGCUAAACAGAUCUUCAACCGCUUCACUAAACAAACGACUGUCUGACCAAAGAAUUUGAGAAACUCUUUUUUUGUAUCAUUCCCUCAAGGCAACCUCCUAACAAACUUGACCUACCAAGCUUCGUCUAAGAAACUCUGGCUAGACAAAUCUUUAAUCGCUUCACCAAAUAAACAAUCGUCUGAAACAAGAUAUCAAAAAACCCUUCUUUACAUUAUUCCUGAAGUAACAUCCUGACUAUAGACCAGUAUCCUCCAAUGAACUGUGGCUAAACAGAUCUUCAAUCGCCGCUUUAAACAAACGACUGUCUGACCAAAGAUUUCGAGAAACUUUGCAUCUAUCCCUCUAAGACCUUCCCAGUUUACUCCAUACUUCCCUGGUCAAAAUGGUCUUCAACCAAUUUACCAAACAGACAACUAUCUAAACGAAUAUUUCAAGAAACUCUUUGCUUCUUUCUUCCGAAGCAACAGCCUUAGAAACAACCCUUGUGCUCCAAGGUGUCCUGGCUAAACAGAUCCACAUCAACGGCUUAACUAAACAAAGAACUGUCUGACCAAAGAGUUUUAGAAACUCUUCUUUACGUCUAUCCCUAAGCAACAGCUUUAGGGCCAAUGCUCACACUCCAUAAUACCCUGCUAAACAGAUCUCAGAUUGAUUCACCAAAUAGACCAUUGUCUGAUCCAAGAUUUUUUUAAACUCUUCUUUGGCCUGCCGAAUACAUAUAAAUAUUGUGGAUGCAACUUCCUCCUCAGUUUCCGCUGGAUGCUCAUAAGACUAAGCACAUGCAUUGGCCUUGGAGUAAAGAUGUGCAGGACACAUUUUCCAAAUUCAUGGGGUACGUACUGCAUUGCCAUGAUUGCAUCAUGUUAUGGCAAUAAAUCAGGGAGAAAAACUUUUGAGCAAACUACUUUCUCAGUUUUUGCCCAGUGCUCAUGAGACUUUGAACACACAUUGGUCUGUAAUGAGUGAAGACAUGAGAGACACAUUUUUGACACAUGCCAGGUACUUCUUUACCUUGGUGUUGGGGGGGGUAUUAAUCACCAUCAGUAAUAUUUUUCAUCUUCUGUGAAACCUUUUUAGUUUAACUUUGUAUAUCUUGAUUUUGCUUUUUCAACAAAUUGAUUAUUUAAUGCUGAUAGUGUUAUCUUGUACAUAGAGCUAUUUAUUUAUUCAAGUUAAUAAUUUUGAUUCAUUUUAUUUAUCUUCCUAUUUAUUAUCUUCUGUAUUUCUGCAUUUCUCAUUGACGAAGGAAAAUAUUGUCCUAGUUUUGUAUUAGUUCCACCAUUCAAUGGUAUAGUGUAUUAAGAAUAUGCAUUAUGAAUCUGUUGUAAUUGAUACUAUGCACAUCACUGCACAUAUCCAAAUCAACUUAGUUAUAUCCCUAUUCUCCCACCCCCCUUCCCCCCUCUCUCUCUCUCUUCCUCCAUCAUACAUCAUUAUCCCAAAAUCAGGGGCCUGUCUUAAUACAAAGAUUUACAAUUGAUCCAAUCAAUCGCAACUCUAUGGAAAUCCAUCAGUGUCAUAAUUUUUUCUACAGGAAAUGUGCAAAAUGUCCUUUGUAAACAAACGAGAACACACCGAACUGUCAAGAAAUCAAUGAAUUUAUGGAUAUGCAUUUGUAUCUAGAAAAAUUUUUUGAGCAAACAUGGAUUGUAUAUGUUGACUUUGCUGGCUUUCCAUAGUUGCGAUUGAUCGGAUCAAUCACAACUUUUUGUAAGUUGGGGCCCUGUACUACUCAAACUUGAGAAAGUAAUAAUUGACAGGCAUAUUUUAUUGCUUUGAUUAAGUAUAAUGCUUUGCUAAGUUAUGUUCCGACUACUGAAUAUUCCCAUUUAAGCUUAUCUCAAGUAUUUGCAACAAGCAUUAUGUCAAAGGAAAGUGUAAAAUCAAGGUUAAUUCUGAAUGUAUUGUGGUUACACCUCGGAAGAGUAACAACCUCAGGGUUUUUUUCUGUGACUUUGACAAUUUGAGGCAAUUUUAUUGCCUGAAGCAUAUUGAAGUAUUAUGCCCACAUUUUUGUUAUUUUGGGGGGAUUUAUUGGUUUAAAUUUUCAGUUUAUUGUAUUAUUUGUAACAGUUCAUCUAACCUUAUUGACUAAGUAGUAUUCAGAGAUGCCAACCGUUAAGAUAUAUUCAUCAGAUAAGAAAUUACAAUGUGAAUAACCAAACGUUUUCUUACGAGACAAAACAUGUUAACAAAAGUUUUUCGCUCAGUCAUUCGAUCGGAAAGUACCGUAAACACUGAAUUUACAUUAGAACACAUCUCAUUAAUAUUCCAUAAGGGUUGGCAACUUGAGUAUUAGACCAAGUUGAUAUAAGAAAAUGGAGAUAGCCUGACUAGAAUUUAGACUUACAUGUAUUGGGCUAAUGGGAAUUAGACCGAAUGGUUAUUAGACAAACUGGUUAGAGACCAACUAGAAUGAGACCAUGUGGGAUGAGACAAAACGGAAAGUAGAUGAAGAGGGUGUAGACAAAUAAAGUACCAAUUUGUGAUGUACUAAUCUAAUAUUGCGCAUUCUUUGGUGCUUCAACUUCACAAUAUUUUCAUAUUAUUUCAUGUGGUGCAGCCCUAGGCUUCGUGAAAUCUUGAUUUCGAUUGAAUUCCAAUGUUGACUUGAUAUUUGAUAUAUUUCAAUUAUAGACUCAGAAAUUGUCAUAUUUCUAUUUUGUUUCUUUUCAUUUCAUUUGUUUUCCACACAUCAUCUUAGAACAACAUACAACUCAUUUGUAAGUAGCAGAAUAAUUAGAAUUAAAAUGCAAAAUACAAAUAAGAACAAUUGCAUCCCAAGCUUCAAAGUGUGGGCGCCUAAAAGUGAAGUAUUGCUUGUUGUGAAUAGGCCCUUAGCAAGUCAUGUGUAAUAGAUUGGUAAGUAAAGUAAAGAUGAAAAGCACCGAGCUCUGAAAAAUAGCGAACUGGACAAGGAUGAAUAAUGGGGACACGCAGAUUACAGACACGGCGAGGAAGGAUAACAAGAGUAUAAAGACCUGUCUACUAUCUUUUAUUCAAACUAACCAAAGAUUGUGGUUGAUACAACUGUGAUUUGCUACUGUUUUGUACAUGUACAGAUAUGUCAGUGAGUAUAUACUUGUCUGUAAAGUCUGGGUUUUACAAACGUUUUGAGAGGAUGCGAGGAUACAACAUUUUGCAUUUUUCGUCUACUUGCAAGAAUUGCUUUUUGCUUGUUAGUAGUUUUAAAAUUUAUUUGCAAACAAAAAGCGACUUUGAUUGAUGUCCAUGUACGAUUCGUGAACCUUCCAAAACUUAGUGCACAUUUUGUGAAUAUAUUGCACUCUUAUGUGUGAUUGUUGGACCUUGCCAAAUUUUGGGCAUUCACUUUCUUGCAAAACCUUCAGUACAUGUUUGUGAACCUUUUCAAACCCAGGUUUGUGUUUCAUAAAGCUGGUCGUACAUUUACGAAAGACUGGAAUAUGUUCUUAAGUGUUAAGACAGCUACAUAGGGACCAUUUAGCACAAGAAAUGGUCACCAGUCGAGCGUAAAGUCAUUUGUUAUUUAUGAACAGUUUUAUGAAACACCCACCAUGCUUAUAGAGCGAUCUGCAGCUGUACAUAAUUGUUUAAAUAACAGAGGUGUUAUUGAUUGAAAUUUAUCAGAACGUUGUUUGUUGUUCGUUUAUGACCUGUUUUAUAAAAUUCAAUUAUCAGAAAAAGAGGAACUAGCAUGUUGACAUUUAAGUCGUUGGAGAUUGGUUGAUUAUGCUAUAGCUCAUAUUUUCCAAAGACCCCUCCCCCUCAUAUCUGCUGGCUCAAUGUCUAAAUGAUAAAUAUUUAAAAACUAAUAUUUGAAAAAUAUUUGCAUUGUUUAUGAUUCUUUUAGGGUCAAGAUCCUGUUUGAUAUGUGCUGGAAUGUCGAACUGCUGGGCAGUUUAUAAAUCAUGAAUUUUUUUAUGAAUGUUGCAUAAAUGAAGUGUACUUUGGUGUGUAAAUAUAUGAGAGACAGAGUAAAUAUUGAUAUUGUAUAAAAUUGAAAGGAAAAACAUACAGUGAAAUGGUGCCAAAUAGUAUGUUGUAUUGUAAAAAAAAAAUCUGUUUGAUUGAUGCAAGCAUUGUCGUGUCUCGCAAAAGUAAUUGACAGCGAUUAUUUUUCAGUAUGUGAAAUGUAACAACUCUAUGGUAGUCCCUGUCUUACAAAUAGUUGUGAUUGAUCCAAUCAAUUGCAUCUAUGACAAGCUACUACACCCCAUCCUCAAUCCGUAUGUCCUUUCAAAUAAUGUCCUCUAAAUACAACAAACACUUGUUUCUGCAUUCCUCUUUCUUGUAUUAUCAAACUCUCCAAUGAAACAUGGACAAUUUAAUUGAAGGUCUCAAAAUUGUUACCUUAUCAAUUAAAGAUAUAAAGAAGAGAGUUCAAAUUGAAAUUUAAUAUUUUCAUCUCUUAGAUAGUAGUAAUCAACUUAUUAAAGAGGUCUUGUGUUCACCUCCAUAUUCAUCUCAUUAACCUAUUAAUGAUAUAGGAGUGUAAAUCACUGGACAGAAAGCUUCUGAAAGGCUUGUGGUUUGAUAAAUUCUUCAGCAUUUUCACCAGAUAUUUCAUUGUUUUUUUUAAUAAUAAUCAUUAUUGACGGUAUGACCAAAAAUAAUUGGUUUGAUAAUAAUUAAUACUAGUAUAAAAGUCACAAGGACCUUGGUGUAUAGCAUACAUUAUGUUAUAAAAUUGACAAGGAGAGAAAUUGUUCUUUCUGCGUAAUUCUUACGAGUUUAUCAAUAAUUUUAGCUUAACUCAUACAAAUGAUUUCCCAUUUAGUACAG